rnacentral:rRNA from 1 species
GGAAUAUUGGGCAAUGGGCGCAAGCCUGACCCAGCAACGCCGCGUGAGUGAAGAAGUAUCUCGGUACGUAAAGCUCUAUCAGCAGGGAAGAAAAUGACGGUACCUGAUUAAGAAGCCCCGGCUAACUACGUUCCAGCAGCCGCGGUAAUACGUAGGGGGCAAGCGUUAUCCGGAUUUACUGGGUGUAAAGGGAGCGUAGACGGCAGCGCAAGUCUGGAGUGAAAUGCCGGGGCCCAACCCCGGAACUGCUUUGGAAACUGUGCAGCUCGAGUGCAGGAGAGGUAAGCGGAAUUCCUAGUGUAGCGGUGAAAUGCGUAGAUAUUAGGAGGAACACCAGUGGCGAAGGCGGCUUACUGGACUGUAACUGACGUUGAGGCUCGAAAGCGUGGGGAGCAAACAG